UCCGGUUCUUCACCAGCAGUCUCCUUAGAGUCCCCACCAUGACGUGAUGGCAACUAAGGAUAAGGGUUGCGCUCGUUACGGGACUUAACCCAACAUCUCACAACACGAGCUGACGACAGCCAUGCAGCACCUGUCUCUAGGUUCCUUUCGGCACUUCCGCAUCUCUGCAGAAUCCCUAGGAUGUCAAGGGUAGGUAAGGUUCUUCGCGUUGCAUCGAAUUAAACCACAUGCUCCACCGCUUGUGCGGGCCCCCGUCAAUUCCUUUGAGUUUUAAUCUUGCGACCGUACUCCCCAGGCGGAAGACUUAUCGCGUUAGCUUCGAUACUAAUAGGUCUAGGCCUACCAACAUCCAGUCUUCAUCGUUUACAGCGUGGACUAC
rnacentral:misc_RNA from 1 species